rnacentral:ncRNA from 1 species
CAAAGGUUUGGUCCUGACUUUACUAUCAACUCUAGCCUAAUUUAUACAUGCAAGUCUCCGCCCCCCCGUGAGAAUGCCCUUGAUAUCCCGCCCGGAAUAGAGGAGCAGGCAUCAGGCACGUCCUACCAGCCCACAACGCCUUGCUAAGCCACGCCCCUACGGGUAGUCAGCAGUAAUUAAUUUUAAGCUAUAAGUGAAAACUUGACUUAGUUAAGGCUAAGAGGGCCGGUAAAACUCGUGCCAGCCACCGCGGUUAUACGAGCGACCCAAGUUGAUGAAAAACGGCGUAAAGCGUGUUUAAGAAAAUUAAAAUAAAUAGAGCCGAAGAACCUCAAGUCAGUUAUACGCCCUCGAGACCCCGAAGCACAACUACGAAAGUGGCUCUACCUAAUUUCUGAUUCCACGAAAGCCGUAGAACAAACUGGGAUUAGAUACCCCACUAUGUACGGUCGUUAAAAUUGAUGGUCCUAUACACCGACCAUCCGCCUGGGAAUUACGAGCAACAGCUUAAAACCCAAAGGAUUUGGCGGUGCUUUAAACCCCCCUAGAGGAGCCUGUUCUGUAACUGAUAACCCCCGUUAAACCUCACCAUCCCUUGUUUAAUCCGCCUAUAUACCACCGUCGUAAGCUUACCCUGUGAAGGAGUAACAGUUAGCGCAGAUGGCAAAGCCAAGAACGUCAGGUCGAGGUGUAGCGAAUGAGAUGGGAAGAAAUGGGCUACAUUCUCUGCUUUAGAGAAUACGAAUGGUCAAUUUGAAAAAGAUUACCUGAAGGAGGAUUUAGUAGUAAGUAGAGAACAGAGUGCCCUACUGAAAAAGGCCCUGAAGCACGCACAUACCGCCCGUCACUCUCUCCGAAUGAACCCUUGAUGAUACCUAAUAUGUUUUACCAAUUAAGGAGAGGCAAGUCGUAACAUGGUAAGCGUACCGGAAGGUGCGCUUGGAUCAAU